rnacentral:piRNA from 1 species
UGCGAAAAUGUAUGGUUCUGCUGGGCCACC